GACGAACGCUGGCGGCGUGCCUAAUACAUGCAAGUAGAACGCUGAAGGAGGAGCUUGCUUCUCUGGAUGAGUUGCGAACGGGUGAGUAACGCGUAGGUAACCUGCCUGGUAGCGGGGGAUAACUAUUGGAAACGAUAGCUAAUACCGCAUAACAGUAGAUAUCGCAUGAUAUCUACUUGAAAGGUGCAAUUGCAUCACUACCAGAUGGACCUGCGUUGUAUUAGCUAGUUGGUGAGGUAACGGCUCACCAAGGCGACGAUACAUAGCCGACCUGAGAGGGUGAUCGGCCAAACUGGGACUGGGACACGGCCCAGACUCCUACGGGAGGCAGCAGUAGGGAAUCUUCGGCAAUGGACGGAAGUCUGACCGAGCAACGCCGCGUGAGUGAAGAAGGUUUUCGGAUCGUAAAGCUCUGUUGUAAGAGAAGAACGAGUGUGAGAGUGGAAAGUUCACACUGUGACGGUAUCUUACCAGAAAGGGACGGCUAACUACGUG
rnacentral:rRNA from 1 species